rnacentral:lncRNA from 1 species
UAUUCUGUUUUCUGCCCUGAAGCCAAUCUGCAGUCUAAUGAGCCAGCAAACUUUCUAUUUCAGGACUCCACACCUUCGAUGUUAACCCUGUGGUGUGCAAUUCAUCUGCCCUACAGAAUUGAGGAUGGAAAGUCCUCCUUAAAGAGUUAUGAACUGGAAACAUGAUCUGGGAGUGGAAGUCACAGAAGCACCUGGUAGUCCAGCAGGCCAAGAUCGAACGAGGAGCAGCACUACGUGCCUGGGCCUCAGGAUAACCUGGAACACAGCAUAACCUCAUGCCAUAGUUACAAAGACCCUACAAGAGCACAGCAGCAGCAGCACCAAGCAGAGAGAGACAAAGGGCCGGGGAAGUGGCUAGCACGCGCACGGACGCAGAUGUCGUGUGGUGUCGAGCGGUGUUGUACGGCGUCCAAAGCCUGAAAGUGCCUA